AGUAAUGCUUGGGAAUCUAGCUUGUGGAGGGGGAUAACUACGGGAAACUGUAGCUAAUACCGCGUAGAAUCGAGAGAUGAAAGUGUGGGACCUUCGGGCCACAUGCCAUAGGAUGAGCCCAAGUGGGAUUAGGUAGUUGGUGAGGUAAAGGCUCACCAAGCCGACGAUCUCUAGCUGGUCUGAGAGGAUGACCAGCCACACUGGGACUGAGACACGGCCCAG
rnacentral:rRNA from 1 species